GAUGAACGCUAGCUACAGGCUUAACACAUGCAAGUCGAGGGGUAACGAGAGGGAAGCUUGCUUUCCUUGUCGACGACCGGCGCACGGGUGAGUAACGCGUAUCCAACCUGCCCCUUCAGUAAGGGAUAGCCUUUCGAAAGAAAGAAUAAUACCUUAUAUGAUCGUUUGAUGACAUCAGACGACGAUCAAAGAUUUAUCGCUGAAGGAUGGGGAUGCGUCCCAUUAGGCAGUAGGCGGGGUAACGGCCCACCUAACCUACGAUGGGUAGGGGUUCUGAGAGGAAGGUCCCCCACAUUGGAACUGAGACACGGUCCAAACUCCUACGGGAGGCAGCAGUGAGGAAUAUUGGUCAAUGGCCGUAAGGCUGAACCAGCCAAGUAGCGUGCAGGAUGACGGCCCUAUGGGUUGUAAACUGCUUUUAAACGGGGAUAAAGUGAGCCACGUGUGGUUUAUUGCAGGUACCGUUUGAAUAAGGACCGGCUAAUUCCGUGCCAGCAGCCGCAGUAA
rnacentral:rRNA from 1 species